AGGAGAGAAAACCCUAAUUUUGGUAGAGCCAACAAGAGCCACGAAUUUGCCUCUCCCUUGGCAGCCGCCAAGAAGGGGAGAGACUCCUCCGUUGCAGCACCAAGACGAAGGAAGAAGGAGGGGCAAGGGGUCGUCGCCCGUCGCCGCCGCCGCCGCCCGUCGCCGAUGUCGUGGCCGCCAUCGCCUCCAUCUCUUCGGGGUUGCACCUCUCCAUCAACAAAUCUCUCUUUCUCACCAUGAUAAUGUGUGAGUAAUCCUCCUCGGGGCUGAGGGUAUGUACUAGUAUCCAUGUGUUCAAUCUUUCUCUCUCAUGUUCUUGAGAUG
rnacentral:lncRNA from 1 species